GACGAACUGCCCAAGCGUUGUUCGGAAUCACUGGGCUUAAAGGGCGCGUAGGCGGCAAUUCAAGUCAGGGGUGAAAUCCGGCAGCUUAACUGUCGAAGUGCCUUUGAUACUGAUUUGCUCGAGGGAGGUAGGGGUGUGUGGAACUUCUGGUGGAGCGGUGAAAUGCGUUGAUAUCAGAAGGAACGCCGGUGGCGAAAGCGACGCACUGGACCGCGUCUGACGCUGAGGCGCGAAAGCUAGGGGAGCAAACGGG
rnacentral:rRNA from 1 species